CACGUAGGCGGUUUGUUAAGUUGGAUGUGAAAGCCCAGGGCUCAACCUUGGAAUUGCAUCCGAUACUGGCAGGCUAGAGUACAGUAGAGGGAGGUGGAAUUUCCGGUGUAGCGGUGAAAUGCGUAGAGAUCGGAAGGAACACCAGUGGCGAAGGGCGGCCUCCUGGACUGAUACUGACGCUGAGGUGCGAAAGCGGUGGGGGAGACAAACAG
rnacentral:rRNA from 1 species